rnacentral:rRNA from 1 species
ACUUUCAACAACGGAUCUCUUGGCUCUCGCAUCGAUGAAGAACGCAGCGAAAUGCGAUAAGUAGUGUGAAUUGCAUAAUUUUGUGGAUCAUCGAAUCUUUGAACGCAAAUUGCACUCUCUGGUAUUCCGGGGGGUAUGCCUGUUUGAGGGUCGUU